AGAGUUUGAUCCUGGCUCAGGAUGAACGCUAGCGACAGGCUUAACACAUGCAAGUCGAGGGGCAGCGGGGGCGUAGCAAUAUGCCUGCCGGCGACCGGCGCACGGGUGAGUAACACGUAUGUAACCUGCCCUAUGCAGGGGGAUAACCCGGAGAAAUCCGGCCUAAUACCGCGUAACACCUUAGGGGAGCAUUCUCUUGAGGUUAAAGGAGAGAUCCGGCAUAGGAUGGACAUGCGUCGCAUUAGGUAGACGGCGGGGUAACGGCCCACCGUGCCGACGAUGCGUAGGGGUUCUGAGAGGAAGGCCCCCACACUGGUACUGAGACACGGACCAGACUCCUACGGGAGGCAGCAGUGAGGAAUAUUGGUCAAUGGCCGAGAGGCUGAACCAGCCAAGUCGCGUGAGGGAAGAAUGUCCUAAGGAUUGUAAACCUCUUUUGUCGGGGAGCAAAAAGGCUCUGCGGAGUCGUAUUGAGAGUACCCGAAGAAAAAGCAUCGGCUAACUCCGUGCCAGCAGCCGCGGUAAUACGGAGGAUGCGAGCGUUAUCCGGAUUUAUUGGGUUUAAAGGGUGCGCAGGCGGCGUGUCAAGCAAGCGGUAAAAUAGCGGGGCUCAACCCCGUCGAGCCGUUUGAACUGGCGCGCUUGAGUUCAGGCGAGGUAGGCGGAAUUCGUGGUGUAGCGGUGAAAUGCAUAGAUAUCACGAAGAACUCCGAUUGCGAAGGCAGCUUACCAGUCUGCGACUGACGCUCAGGCACGAAAGUGUGGGUAUCGAACAGGAUUAGAUACCCUGGUAGUCCACACAGUAAACGAUGAGCGCUAGGUGUCCGGGUCGCAUGAGACUUGGGUGCCCGAGCGAAAGCGUUAAGCGCUCCACCUGGGGAGUACGCCGGCAACGGUGAAACUCAAAGGAAUUGACGGGGGCCCGCACAAGCGGAGGAACAUGUGGUUUAAUUCGAUGAUACGCGAGGAACCUUACCCGGGCUCAAACGACUCAGGAAUAUAUUGGAAACGAUGUAGCCAGCAAUGGUCUGAGUCGAGGUGCUGCAUGGUUGUCGUCAGCUCGUGCCGUGAGGUGUCGGCUUAAGUGCCAUAACGAGCGCAACCCCUACCGCCAGUUGCCAACGGGUAAAGCCGGGAACUCUGGCGGGACUGCCGGCGCAAGCUGCGAGGAAGGCGGGGAUGACGUCAAAUCAGCACGGCCCUUACGUCCGGGGCGACACACGUGUUACAAUGGCAGGUACAGCGGGAAGCUACCUGGUGACAGGGAGCGGAACCCGAAAGCCUGUCUCAGUUCGGAUUGGAGUCUGCAACUCGACUCCAUGAAGCUGGAUUCGCUAGUAAUCGCGCAUCAGCCAUGGCGCGGUGAAUACGUUCCCGGGCCUUGCACUAACCGCCCGUCA
rnacentral:rRNA from 1 species